rnacentral:rRNA from 1 species
GAAACGAUGAUGUUGGUGUCGCACAUUAGACUUGUGUUUAAAUAGAGCUUUGCUCGUGAACCAAAUAUGGUGGGCUGGGUUGUCUUUGUGGAAACGCUUAGGCGACUUGUCUACGAAUUGUAAUCAUAAUAUGGGCGGCGGUGAAUCCUUUGCAGACGACUUGAAUGGGAACGGGGUACUGUAAGUGGUAGAGUAGCCUUGUUGCUACGAUCCACUGAGGUUAAGCCCUUGUUCUAAAGAUUUGUUC